AUGAGGAAGAAUGAGGAGAACAGGAAUGCUUCCUAUAUAUCCUGGCUUUCCAGAGAUCUAAGGUUGUGUGCCAAACUUGUCUUUAGGUCCUGGAGUUGGAAGUCUUGGAAGGAAGGUGAAGUUGUGGAUGUGAUAAUAACGUGGAUUAAGCUUGAUCAUCUACACAAUCUAAAAGUAUUUGGGGUCAGGAGAGCUGAGAGGACGAUUAAUUCAACAACCAUCAAGGCAUAUGACAGCCCUCAAGGCAGCUCGGAGCCGCUCCACUCACCAGCUGCUUCUGGACGCAUUUGCCAAGUUGCCAGACAUUGUGGAAAGAGCAGUUGCUUCCCAUAUGACAUCUGUGAUAUCAGCAGCAAACUAGACCCCUAAGGCACGGCUGUCUUCAACUCCAGUGCUUCAGGCAGUAAGUAUGAAAAUUACUAACACAAUUACAAUGAUUAAAGUGUUCGUCUAAAAAUAGUGACACCUACUUUUAAUCAACAUGACAAUGGCUUUUCUAGUUAUUUGAGUUGUGCAGCAGAGGCUUUAAAAUGAGCAUAACCUGUGUUGAAUAAUUUGUUAAAAUAUUUAAUAAGAGAGCUAAAAUAAAAUACAAAUAUUUAAGGGAAGGAGGCA
rnacentral:lncRNA from 12 species